rnacentral:rRNA from 1 species
AGGACGAACGCUGGCGGCGUGCUUAACACAUGCAAGUCGAGCGGAAAGGCCCUUCGGGGUACUCGAGCGGCGAACGGGUGAGUAACACGUGAGCAAUCUGCCCUUAGCUUCGGGAUAGCCCCGGGAAACCGGGAUUAAUACCGAAUAUGACCUCGGCCGACAUCGGCUUUGGUGGAAAGUUUUUCGGCUAGGGAUGAACUCGCGGCCUAUCAGCUUGUUGGUGGGGUAAUGGCCUACCAAGGCGACGACGGGUAGCCGGCCUGAGAGGACGACCAGCCACACUGGGACUGAGACACGGCCCAGACUCCUACGGGAGGCAGCAGUGAGGAAUUUUCCGCAAUGGGCGAAAGCCUGACGGAGCGACGCCGCGUGCACGAGGAAGGUCUUCGGAUCGUAAAGUGCUGUCGAGGGGGACGAUUAUGACGGUACCCCUGGAGGAAGCCCGGCUAACUACGUGCCAGCAGCCGC